GAUGAAGAACGUAGCGAAAUGCGAUAAGUAAUGUGAAUUGCAGAAUUCAGUGAAUCAUCGAAUCUUUGAACGCACAUUGCGCCCGCCAGCAUUCUGGCGGGCAUGUCUGUUCGAGCGUCAUUUCAACCCUCGAGCCCCCCCGGGGGCCUCGGUGUUGGGGGACGGCACACCAGCCGCCCCCGAAAUGCAGUGGCGACCCCGCCGCAGCCUCCCCUGCGUAGUAGCACACACCUCGCACCGGAGCGCGGAGGCGGUCACGCCGUAAAACGCCCAACUUUCUUAGAGUUGACCUCGGAUCAGGUAGGAAUACCCGCUGAACUUAAGCAUAUCAAUAAGCGGAGGA
rnacentral:misc_RNA from 1 species